AUCGAACGCUGGCGGCAGGCCUAACACAUGCAAGUCGCACGAGUGGCCGACGGGUGAGUAAUGUCUGGGAAACUGCCUGAUGGAGGGGGAUAACUACUGGAAACGGUAGCUAAUACCGCAAACCAUCAGAUGUGCCCAGAUGGGAUUAGCUUGUUGGUGGGGUAACGGCUCACCAAGGCGACGAUCCCUAGCUGGUCUGAGAGGAUGACCAGCAACACUGGGACUGCAACGCGGGCCAGAUUCCUACGGGAGGCAGCAGUGGGGAAGAUUGCACAAUGGGCGCAAGCCUGAUGCAGCCAUGCCGCGUGUAUGAAGAAGGCCUUCCGGUUGUAAAGUUCGGUCAGCGAAGAGGCGUUACCCGCAGAGGAAGCUCCGGCUAACUCCGUGCCAGCAGCCGCGGUAAUAC
rnacentral:rRNA from 1 species